UACGGGGGGGGCAAGCGUUGUUCGGAAUUACUGGGCGUAAAGGGCGCGUAGGCGGCCAACUAAGUCAGACGUGAAAUCCCUCGGCUCAACCGGGGAACUGCAUCUGAUACUGGAUGGCUUGAGAUUGGGAGAGGGAUGCGGAAUUCCAGGUGUAGCGGUGAAAUGCGUAGAUAUCUGGAGGAACACCGGUGGCGAAGGCGGCAUCCUGGACCAACACUGACGCUGAGGAGCGAAAGCCAGGGGAGCAAACGGG
rnacentral:rRNA from 1 species